GAUGAACGCUGGCGGCGUGCCUAAUACAUGCAAGUAGAACGCUGAAGGCAGGAGCUUGCUCUUUCCGGAUGAGUUGCGCACGGGUGAGUAACGCGUAGGUAACCUGCCUGGUAGCGGGGGAUCACUAUUGGAAACGAUAGCUAAUACCGCAUAACAGUAGAUGUUGCAUGAUAUCUACGUAAAAGGUGCAAUUGCACCACUACCAGAUGGACCUGCGUUGUAUUAGCUAGUUGGUGAGGUACCGGCUCACCGAGGCGGCGAUACAUAGCCGACCUGAGAGGGUGGGCGGCCAGACUGAGACGGAGACAGGGCACAGAGGGAUAGGGGAAGCGGCAGGAGUGAUUCGUGAGGAAGCGAUGGGAGACUGAGCGAGCAAGGCGGAGGGAGGGAGGAAGGAUGUCGGAUGGGAGAGCACGGUUGUAAGAGUAGAACGAGUGUGAGAGUGGAAAGAACACAGUGUGACGGUAACUGAUAAGGAAGGGACGGCUAACUACGUG
rnacentral:rRNA from 1 species